GUCCAGUGACAGCACGCCAGGCUCCUGAGCCAAUGGUCGUGGGUUCAAGUCCAGGC
rnacentral:tRNA from 1 species